rnacentral:misc_RNA from 1 species
GAUGAAGAACGCAGCGAAAUGCGAUAAGUAGUGUGAAUUGCAGAAUUCAGUGAAUCAUCGAAUCUUUGAACGCACAUUGCGCCCCUUGGUAUCCCGAGGGGCAUGCCUGUUCGAGCGUCAUUUCACCACUCAAGCCUGGCUUGGUGUUGGGCGACGUCCCCUUUGGGGACGCGCCUCGAAACGCUCGGCGGCGUGGCAUCGGCUUUAAGCGUAGCAGAAUCUUUCGCUUUGGAAGUCGGGGCCCCGUCUGCCGGAAGACCUACUCGCAAGGUUGACCUCGGAUCAGGCAGGGAUACCCGCUGAACUUAAGCAUAUCAAUAAGCGGAGGA